CCUACGGGUGGCUGCAGUGGGGAAUAUUGGACAAUGGGGGCAACCCUGAUCCAGCCAUGCCGCGUGUGUGAAGAAGGCCCUCGGGUUGUAAAGCACUUUCAGUGAGGAAGAACGCCUGGUGGUUAAUACCCAUCAGGAAAGACAUCACUCACAGAAGAAGCACCGGCUAACUCCGUGCCAGCAGCCGCGGUAAUACGGAGGGUGCGAGCGUUAAUCGGAAUUACUGGGCGUAAAGCGCGCGUAGGUGGCUUGAUAAGCCGGUUGUGAAAGCCCCGGGCUCAACCUGGGAACGGCAUCCGGAACUGUCAAGCUAGAGUGCAGGAGAGGAAGGUAGAAUUCCCGGUGUAGCGGUGAAAUGCGUAGAGAUCGGGAGGAAUACCAGUGGCGAAGGCGGCCUUCUGGACUAACACUGACACUGAGGUGCGAAAGCGUGGGUAGCAAACAGGAUUAGAUACCCGUGUAGUC
rnacentral:rRNA from 1 species